UACCCAUAAAUCCCAUGGUCUUUGCCACAAGACAUGAGAGAGAAGCUCCAUCGAACCCUUAUUUAUUAUUCUCGCAAUGUGAGAGAUUUUUGUUGAAGUUCAUAGAGCCAUUAAACAUUUUCACCCCAUGAAGAGUGACAAAGUCCCACCAAUUUGGAAAGAGAUAGGAUGGACGCCACUUAGGGCCCAUUUCUUUAGAGGGGACUUACUGGGGUGGGAUCAAUAAGGUGGGAUUUCUAACAACUUUCCCACUAAAUAGUGUAAAACAUGGUUGUUUGGAUGAAAGGGGUGGGAGAACUAUGAGAUAGUUGUCAGAGACACAGGAAAUCAUAUUGGAGGGUUGUUUCUUCCACCCCUUCUACUUCAAAGUCCAACCGAUUUGGUGGGACUCUUAUGGGAAAGACGAGGGAAAGAAGAUCUUGGUGGAAGACGAUCUCUCCAACAACUCUGUGUCUUCUUCUUCAACUCAAUUUCUUCUCUCCCAGCAAAGGUAAGAAGGCUAUGAUCUUGGUGGAAGAACAAAUGGGUGGAAGUAAAUGUUGCAUUUAAUGCUCUUUAGUCCGUUUGUAGCUCAGACCUAUAAGGGUUUUCAUUUCUUGAAGAGUCGGCUCCUCCUUCUCCAGAGAACAUAGAUCUUAGAGUUGUAUGAGUUGUAUCGACCCUCGUCUACUCUAAAUGGUGGGAAUGGACAAUAAGGUGAUAGUGAUGGUUCCUCUUAAUUGGGAAUUUUGAGGGCUCAAAAGUUGGUAUGCUGGCUAGCUGUUUGUGCAUUCCUCUCGUCAUAAAAAUUAGGCCACAUCAGUACCUGUUUGAAAGAAGAAAAAUGCCCAAAUCUAGCUUUUGGAUAUGCAUUUUCCAUCAUGGGCUUCCAAAGCUAUAGUCUUGCCAUGGACCACUAAAAUGUUACCACCGAGCUCAGAUGGAAAUUUUGUCAUGAAACUUGCAUUGGAAAAUUCAUAGAAAUUUUAUUGAAAAACUUGCAUUUUAGUAAAUAUAUGUGAGUUUUGGGAGUAAUUUUGUUAAAGUUUCUUCCAUACAUCAUUUUUUUUUUUUUUGGUUUUUGCAGUCACGUUUUCCACCAAGUUAUCAACCACCAAUCUACUCCUUCUAAUUAUUCUCUUUGUAUAAAAUAAGGAAAAAAUAUUUAUGGGUUAAAACAUAAUAGUACUUUCUAAUAGCAGGAAUAUAUAAAACUCGUGGGUUAAAAGUACUUUCAAUCUGCCACUUAACGAAUGCUCCCACGUGCAUUUGCACGUGCAAGUUUCAUAGUUUUUUUAAAACUAUGAAAUUGGAGUUAUGACUCUAGGUUGAAGAACUUCUUUCUAUUUCAUAGUUUAAGAGUGGAAUGCUUUAGUGGGAUGUACUUUUUUUUAAUGGUUUUUCUACAGAUUAGUGAUGUAAUAUUCUCAAAAUUUUGGGCAAGUUUAUGAUAAUACUUCAUGCUCUUCUAUUUGGAAGUUAGUGAGAUAUUUUUUUGUACAAUAGCUGAGAAUUUUGGGAACAUGCUUGGUAAUAGAUGAUAGUACUUCAUGCUUUCCA